UCGAGUUCCUCCGGAACACCCGGGAUUUUUCGUAUUUAGCCACGCCGGUCACGUGAUAUGAGCAAAAUGUUCCACAGGGGUACUUCCGGUUAAUUUUGUUUACACUGGUAACAAAAUUGUUUUUGACAAAAUAUAGAUUUUGCGGCACAAACUGUCACAAAUCAGAUAAAGGAUAGCAAGGGAUAUUUAUUUACUUGGGAAGAUGUCGAAGUUUACCUUUUCCCAAACCCGGGAAAAGCGUUCACGCAGAAGAAACGAUGGCGUCAUUUGUGUAGAAAACCACGAGCAGCCGAAAUUGAGUGCGAUUAUUACAUUCCGUGAAAGCUGAACCAACAAAGAAACAUCAUUGUUCUAGCCAGUUUCCUUAUAUUAACUUUUAGGAAAACCAAGAGGUUGAUAACAAUGGCUGAUCUGCAUAUAAUGACUGCCAGUUAUAGGCUGGUAUGCAGUGAAAGGGAGCUAAAAAGAAGUAAAAAGUUCAUAUCAGCCAGGUAGUGUGGCUUAAAUAAACCAGUGUUAAGGAAUAUCCAGUAAUGGCAUGACAUCAUGAGAGUUUGGCAUACCGACAUUCAGAUGAUUAAUGAUGAAACUGAAGACCUCAAGUGAAAGGCAUGGAAAAUGAUCCUGUUCCCAUAUACCUGAAAAAGAGAGGGAUGCCACAAUAUUGAUGAUAUACUUUUGUCAAUUUGAGAAGCAAAGAUGUAAAAGGAAAAAAAUAAUGCUGAAAUUAUAAUUCAUGUAUUUGUUAAAAACUGUUCACUGUACAUACAUGUAUAUUUUUUUAACUUAUUUGGAAAUACAUGAAGUAAUUCAUAUUAAAACUGUGAAUGUAUGA